rnacentral:rRNA from 1 species
GAUGAACGCUGGCGGCGUGCCUAAUACAUGCAAGUCGAGCGAACAGACGAGGAGCUUGCUCCUCUGACGUUAGCGGCGGACGGGUGAGUAACACGUGGAUAACCUACCUAUAAGACUGGGAUAACUUCGGGAAACCGGAGCUAAUACCGGAUAAUAUAUUGAACCGCAUGGUUCAAUAGUGAAACACGGUUUUGCUGUCACUUAUAGAUGGAUCCGCGCCGCAUUAGCUAGUUGGUAAGGUAACGGCUUACCAAGGCGACGAUGCGUAGCCGACCUGAGAGGGUGAUCGGCCACACUGGAACUGAGACACGGUCCAGACUCCUACGGGAGGCAGCAGUAGGGAAUCUUCCGCAAUGGGCGAAAGCCUGACGGAGCAACGCCGCGUGAGUGAUGAAGGUCUUCGGAUCGUAAAACUCUGUUAUUAGGGAAGAACAAAUGUGUAAGUAACUAUGCACGUCUUGACGGUACCUAAUCAGAAAGCCACGGCUAACUACGUG